rnacentral:lncRNA from 1 species
GCUUCUCUCUUGAACUCAUUCAGACCUGAGCGCUCCUAAGAAAUGCCGAGCGCGCUUUGGCCUUGAUCAACAGAAUAACUGGUGCGGCCCUUGCAGUGCAAAUACUCCAAAGAAGUGUCGGGCACUGUUCGGGCUUGACCGACAGACUUUAUGGUGCAAACCGUGCAGAGAAAAAAAAAGUGCGUUCGCUACAUACAAGGUGAAGGCAGCU